CUUACUUCCGAUCGCGCGAGUUUGUAGCGCGCGGUACGCUAGCGACGACUCGCUAUUGUUUCGUCAACAUUUCGGUAUGAAAAGAGACGAGUGCAGUAAUACGAUACGCGCUGAUAAUGAGGCGAAGGCUCGUGUUUUUGCGCGCUCGAACGAGCGACGGAUGUGCCAAGAGUUUGUUUAGUGUUUUCGCUGAUGGGCGAGAAACGCUCGUUGAAACCGUUUCCGAACGCGAGCUUUCGGAACGACGAAUACGAGGCUAUUUUCACGAAAAAGAAAAACGACCUCGUUAUCGUCCUAACUUUCCACCAAAAUUAUCAAUCAGCUUUCCAGGGCGUUUCUUUCCUAGCACUAGCCUCGUAACGGAUCUCCACUCUCCGGAUCGUCAAAGGAAAAACGAGAGUGCUGUGCACGAGAGAGAGAGUAUACACUCCCUUUUCUUCCGCGGAGAGCUGAAACUCGCCUAACAACUCUCGCGUGCGAAGUCAAAGGAAGUCGAGCCGCUGGUGGAACGAAGCCCAGAAGUAAGCCCCCGGCUCGUAAAAAACAGCUCGUAACGAGUCUCCCUCGACCAGGCACAUAACCCGACGUCUCGGGAGGCAGCGACUGAUUAGACGGACAGCCGCGUCCGCGGAAUACAAACGUCUUGCGGCUGCACACCACAGCUGCGGCCUCUAAUCAAGGGGUCUCGGCUGACGAGAUUGAUUCCCGCAUUCCGGGAACGUCUGUGUGCUCCGCGCAAGGAGCCGGAGAUACAAGAUGCGAGAGACGCGGCCGAGAAAUGACUCGUUAGCAGCGGUUGUCUUGGGGGUGCGUCUUGCUACGCACGCGUUUGCCCCGGUGAUUUACGCAGGGGAGCAGCACUUGGGGUCGGCUAUAUCCGCGCUGUGUACUCGAUUAUCGCCGGUGUUACUUUCUAAUUCUUACGAGCUAUU